AAUUUUCUCGCUCUAUAUCUCUUUAAUCUCUCUAUCUCUACCUCUCUCACUCUCUCACAAGGUAGACCAACUCUCGCUCUAUCUCUCGGUGUAAAGCAAGUGUCUCUAUCCUCGCUCACUUUCUCACUAUCUUUAAUUUCCCAAUCACAUCUCACCUGGAAAAAAUGAAAAAAUCUCUUGUCAAAAAAUCUCUUGCUCAACUUUCUCGCUUUAUAUCUCUUUAAUCUCUCUAUCUCUAUCUCUCUCACUCUCUCACAAGGUAGACCAACUCUCGCUCUAUCUCUCGGUGUAAAGCAAGUGUCUCUAUUCUCGCUCACUUUCUCACUAUCUUUAAUUUUCUCAACACAUCUCACCUGGAAAAAAUGAAAAAAUCUCGUCAAAAAAUCUCUUGCUCAACUUUCUCGCUCUAUAUCUCUUCCCUCGCUCUAUCUCUAUCUCUCUCACUCACUCACAAGGUAGACCAACUCUCGCUCUAUCUCUCAGUGUAAAGCAAGUGUCUCUAACGUCGCUCAUUUUCUCACUUUCUUUAAUUUUCUCAACACAUCUCAUCCCCAAAAAAACAACAAUUUUUUCUUACUCUCUCUGUGUGUGGUUACUGGUUGGUGACUGGCUGUGUGUGUGUGUGUAUUCACCAAUCAGAAAGCUGCGAUUUUGGGACCUGACCAGUGAUAGUGACGCGCCGCUUGGUGAGGGCCAGGCACCAGCAGGGGACGCCAUGUUAACCUGUGCCUAUUCAUCGCUUGGUGGUUCAGUCUGUGUUGGACACGAAUCCGGCAGCGUAAUCUUCUAUGGAGCUCCAAACCACUACCAACACUUCUUCAUCUGUGUCGAAUGAGUGUAAGGCGCAGUGUCCCCUCUCACUCUCUCUCUCCUCCCUCUCCCUCACUCUCUCCUGCCUUACCUCACCUACACUGCAUAGAGAGAGAGAGAGAGAGAGAGGGGGGGGGAGAGAGGGACCACUGUUCUAUAUUUAGUGCCAUUUAUAUUGUAAGAGAGAGAGAGAGAGAGAGAGAGAGAGAGAGAGAGAGAGAGAGAGAGAGAGAGAGAGAAUUUUAGUUGUGCUCAAAUUGUUGUAGUAGUAGUUGUUGUUUUUGUUGUACUA